rnacentral:rRNA from 1 species
AGGUAAAACUGGUGAUUGGGGUGAAGUCGUAACAAGGUAGCCGUAGGAGAACCUGCGGCUGGAUCACCUCCUUU